GUCUUUUUGAUUUUAUAAAAAGUCUGGCCUGCUCAAUGAAUAUUAAAUAGCUGCGGUAUUUUGACCGUACAAAGGUAGCAUAAUCAAUAGUUUUUUAAUUGAAAACUGGAAUGAAAGGUUUGAUAAAAAAAUGACUGUCUCAUUUAGAUUUUUUUUUAAAUUUUAUUUUUAAGUUCAAAAGCUUAAAUUUUUUUGAAAGACGAGAAGACCCUAUAGAGUUUAAUUGUUAAAAGUAUAUAUUUUUUUAGUAUUAAAAAUAUGUAAAUUUAAAACAAUUUAAUUGGGGUGAUUAAAAAAUUAAAUAAACUUUUUUUUAUUUUUUCAAUUUUUAUUGUUUAAUUGAUCCAUAAAAAUGAUUAUAAGAUUAAAUUACCUUAGGGAUAACAGCGUAAUUUUUUUUGAGAGCUCUAAUCGAAAAAAGAGAUUGCGACCUCGAUGUUGGAUUAAAAUUUAUAUU
rnacentral:rRNA from 1 species